rnacentral:rRNA from 1 species
AUUGAACGCUGGCGGCAUGCCUUACACAUGCAAGUCGAACGGCAGCACGGGUGCUUGCACCUGGUGGCGAGUGGCGAACGGGUGAGUAAUACAUCGGAACAUGUCCUGUAGUGGGGGAUAGCCCGGCGAAAGCCGGAUUAAUACCGCAUACGAUCUACGGAUGACAGCGGGGGACCUUCGGGCCUCGCGCUAUAGGGUUGGCCGAUGGCUGAUUAGCUAGUUGGUGGGGUAAAGGCCUACCAAGGCGACGAUCAGUAUCUGGUCUGAGAGGACGACCAGCCACACUGGGACUGAGACACGGCCCAGACUCCUACGGGAGGCAGCAGUGGGGAAUUUUGGACAAUGGGCGAAAGCCUGAUCCAGCAAUGCCGCGUGUGUGAAGAAGGCCUUCGGGUUGUAAAGCACUUUUGUCCGGAAAGAAAUCCUUGGCCCUAAUACGGUCGGGGGAUGACGGUACCGGAAGAAUAAGCACCGGCUAACUACGUG